CGGAGGGUGCGAGCGUUGUCCGGAAUCAUUGGGCGUAAAGGGCGCGUAGGUGGCGCGACAAGCGUGCGGUGAAAGCUCGGGGCUCAACCCCGGGUCGGCCGUGCGAACUGUUGUGCUUGAGCACUGUAGAGGCAGGCGGAAUUCCGGGUGUAGCGGUGGAAUGCGUAGAGAUCCGGAAGAACACCGGUGGCGGAGGCGGCCUGCUGGGCAGUAGCUGACACUGAGGCGCGACAGCGUGGGGAGCAAACAGGAUUAGAUACCCUGGUAGUCCACGCCGUAAACGAUGGGCACUAGGCGCUUGGGGGAGCGACCCCCCGAGGGCCGGCGCUAACGCAUUAAGUGCCCCGCCUGGGGAGUACGGCCGCAAGGCUG
rnacentral:rRNA from 1 species